CUUUUCCCGCUGCAACGCUCCCCCCUUUGCCACCCGACGAUGUCCCAUCAACUACGGUCUGUUUCCAAUGACUUAGGUCUAAAUGGAGAGAUAGCUCGGAGGACAUUGGGAGGACGGCGAUUAAAGCUCGUUGGAAGCGGCUUUUAGUCGGGGAGGGUGCCCACGCCCCAGCCAUCGCCGCCCUCGCUGGACGCUUAGCCAUCCAGGUCCUCUAUUUCAAUAUCAAUGCCCUAUGGAGGGAGUUGGCCGAUGCAGAUCUCAUGCACUGUUGUGAAAAGUGGGAACAACCCUUGCCAUCCUCUGUGACUCAGAACUUCAUAAACUUCUUUUGCCGUGGACACACCCUUCAAGAGUUGUGAAGUCAGAUCAUAGAGUACAGAAGAUGCACAUUUUAGAAUGCUCAAUUAUAUUUUAGUGAAUAUGCAGUUCCAUGUAAUUUAACCAUGUCGAAAGAAGAUUU